AUUGAACGCUGGCGGCAGGCCUAACACAUGCAAGUCGAACGGUAGCACAGAGGAGCUUGCUCCUUGGGUGACGAGUGGCGGACGGGUGAGUAAUGUCUGGGAAACUGCCCGAUGGAGGGGGAUAACUACUGGAAACGGUAGCUAAUACCGCAUAACGUCGCAAGACCAAAGAGGGGGACCUUCGGGCCUCUUGCCAUCGGAUGUGCCCAGAUGGGAUUAGCUAGUAGGUGGGGUAACGGCUCACCUAGGCGACGAUCCCUAGCUGGUCUGAGAGGAUGACCAGCCACACUGGAACUGAGACACGGUCCAGACUCCUACGGGAGGCAGCAGUGGGGAAUAUUGCACAAUGGGCGCAAGCCUGAUGCAGCCAUGCCGCGUGUAUGAAGAAGGCCUUCGGGUUGUAAAGUACUUUCAGCGAGGAGGAAGGCGUUGUGGUUAAUAACCCGCAACGAUUGACGUUAACUCGCANGAAGAAGCACCGGCUACUCCGUGCCAG
rnacentral:rRNA from 1 species